UAUUACCGCGGCUGCUGGGGCGGGGGCACGGGGGGACUCCUACGGGAGGCAGCAGUAGGGAAUCUUCCGCAAUGGACGAAAGUCUGACGGAGCAACGCCGCGUGAGUGAUGAAGGCUUUCGGGUCGUAAAACUCUGUUGUUAGGGAAGAACAAGUACGAGAGUAACUGCUCGUACCUUGACGGUACCUAACCAGAAAGCCACGGCUAACUACGUGCCAGCAGCCGCGGUAAUA
rnacentral:rRNA from 1 species